rnacentral:rRNA from 1 species
UAGAGGAAGUAAAAGUCGUAACAAGGUCUCCGUAGGUGAACCUGCGGAGGGAUCAUUACAAGUACACUACCGGCCUAACCCGCCGGCUAUGUAUAACCCUUUGUUGUCCGACUCUGUUGCCUCCGGGGCGACCCUGCCUUCGGGCGGGGGCCCCGGGUGGACACUUCAAACUCUUGCGUAACUUUGCAGUCUGAGUAAAUUUAAUUAAUAAAUUAAAACUUUCAACAACGGAUCUCUUGGUUCUGGCAUCGAUGAAGAACGCAGCGAAAUGCGAUAAGUAAUGUGAAUUGCAGAAUUCAGUGAAUCAUCGAAUCUUUGAACGCACAUUGCGCCCCCUGGUAUUCCGGGGGGCAUGCCUGUUCGAGCGUCAUUUCACCACUCAAGCCUCGCUUGGUAUUGGGCGACGCGGUCCGCCGCGCGCCUCAAAUCGACCGGCUGGGUCUUCUGUCCCCUCAGCGUUGUGGAAACUAUUCGCUAAAGGGUGCCCGGGAGGCUACGCCGUAAAACAACCCCAUUUCUAAGGUUGACCUCGGAUCAGGUAGGGAUACCCGCUGAACUUAAGCAUA